rnacentral:rRNA from 1 species
CUCAGCAAUUACACUGCUCUUCAUCAGUCCUGCCUCCUCUAGGAAGCUAAGCAACCUCAGGCCUAGACACUAGGUGGAUGGGAGACCACAGGGAAAAUCAGGUGCUGUAGACA